rnacentral:tRNA from 1 species
GUUCCUGUAGUUAAAAUUUUGUAACGGCAGUUUUUCAGGCUGCAGAUCUCGGAGAGAAGCCGAGUGGGAAUU